UACGUAGGGCGCGAGCGUUAUCCGGAAUUAUUGGGCGUAAAGAGCUCGUAGGCGGUUUGCCACGUCUGCUGUGAAAGCCCGGGGCUUAACUCCGGGUUUGCAGUGGGUACGGGCAGACUGGAGUGCAGUAGGGGAGACUGGAAUUCCUGGUGUAGCGGUGAAAUGCGCAGAUAUCAGGAGGAACACCGAUGGCGAAGGCAGGUCUCUGGGCUGUUACUGACGCUGAGGAGCGAAAGCAUGGGGAGCGAACAGG
rnacentral:misc_RNA from 1 species